GUGGAUAGGGUGAAAUUGCUGCUGCACCAGAUAGAGGAGUCCACUGUAACCAUGCCAACAACACUGACACAGUCAGACAGGACCAGAGUAACACCAAACACAACUGCAGACAUGGUUGAUGAAUGGAUCUUCCUGGUUAGCAUAUUUCCCCCACACAAGUCCUCAUUAAAGCCUAUUGUAGCCAAUUACACUGUCAACAGGAGCUGUAAUCUCAGAGGUCCUCAAAACACCCACAUUACACUGUCCACAGGAGCUGUAAUCUCAGAGGUCCUCAAAACACCCACAUUACACUGUCAACAGGAGCUGUAAUCUCAGUGGUCCUCAAAACACCCACAUUACACUGUCCACAGGAGCUGUAAUCUCAGAGGUCCUCAAAACACCCACAUUACACUGUCAACAGGAGCUGUAAUCUCAGUGGUCCUCAAAACACCCACAUUACACUGUCAACAGGAGCUGUAAUCUCAGAGGUCCUCAAAACACCCACAUUACACUGUCAACAGGAGCUGUAAUCUCAGAGGUCCUCAACACCCACAUUACACUGUCAACAGGAGCUGUAAUCUCAGUGGUCCUCAACACCCACAUUACACUGUCAACAGGAGCUGUAAUCUCAGUGGUCCUCAACACACCCACAUUACACUGUCAACAGGAGCUGUAAUCUCAGAGGUCCUCAAAACACCCACAUUACACUGUCAACAGGAGCUGUAAUCUCAGUGGUCCUCAACACACCCACAUUACACUGUCAACAGGAGCUGUAAUCUCAGAGGUCCUCAACACCCACAUUACACUGUCAACAGGAGCUGUAAUCUCAGAGGUCCUCAAAACACCCACAUUACACUGUCAACAGGAGCUGUAAUCUCAGAGGUCCUCAAAACACCCACAUUACACUGUCAACAGGAGCUGUAAUCUCAGAGGUCCUCAAAACACCCACAUUACACUGUCAACAGGAGCUGUAAUCUCAGAGGUCCUCAAAACACCCACAUUACACUGUCAACAGGAGCUGUAAUCUCAGAGGUCCUCAAAACACCCACAUUACACUGUCAACAGGAGCUGUAAUCUCAGAGGUCCUCAAAACACCCACAUUACACUGUCAACAGGAGCUGUAAUCUCAGUGGUCCUCAACACACCCACAUUACACUGUCAACAGGAGCUGUAAUCUCAGAGGUCCUCAACACACCCACAUUACACUGUCAACAGGAGCUGUAAUCUCAGUGGUCCUCAACACCCACAUUACACUGUCAACAGGAGCUGUAAUCUCAGUGGUCCUCAACACCCACAUUACACUGUCAACAGGAGCUGUAAUCUCAGUGGUCCUCAACACACCCACAUUACACUGUCAACAGGAGCUGUAAUCUCAGAGGUCCUCAACACACCCACAUUACACUGUCAACAGGAGCUGUAAUCUCAGUGGUCCUCAACACACCCACAUUUCACUGUCAACAGGAGCUGUAAUCUCAGUGGUCACAUUUCCUGCGGAAACGAUAAUCGUCCUCUCGCUCUGUGCUUAGCAAGCAGCAGACGAUCUCCGAGAGGCUACGUGAAUAUCUUUUCCUAAUUACUACCCAGUUCCUCUCUGAUUUUCCUCCACAAAUUGGCACCCCUAGUCCCUAUUUAGCGCACUACUUUUGACCAGAACUGAACACUAUUAUCAGGGAAUAGGGUGCCAUUUGGGAUCCGCUCUCCGAUCCAGAGGGAACAGAACAGAAACAGUAAGAGCUCCAAUAAUUACACAACCCUUAACGCCCCCUUAACGAACUUCAAAAGGGAUGGUUUUACAGGCCGGUGCCGAACCGGAACGGCAAUUAUGAAAAACAAACCAUAUUAAUGAUAUCGUUUAUCAUUUCCACACUUCGGGGGAAGCGAAAGCGGACGCUUGGCGCCUGAACACAAAAGCAUCUACACGCGUAUAUCAACGAGCCUUCGCUAAAAAUACCACAUCUACUCCGUGGAGUGGUCCGAUUUUCCAUCCAAACACACAGGCUGUUGAAUUCUUCCCAAAAAUACGCAGGCCUAUAUAUCCAACAGCUAAAAACCCAGAUGGAGGGAUUGU